rnacentral:lncRNA from 1 species
GUGAUACUAGAUUCUGUUUUUUUUUUUGGUUUUUGAUUUUUUUUUUUAAUUUUUGAUUUAUUAAUACUUAACUUAUUAAAUUUUUGUGAAACUAGAAAAUAUCUCAUAGACCACUUAAAAUGUUUUUGACCUUAACUAAAAUAUUGUAAGUUAGUUUGAAAUAUAAUUAAGAGAUAGAGAGGUAUGCCUUUAGAUUUGUAUAUGUUAGGUUUUGGUAUGAGUGGGGCUUCUUAGAUAAGUAACAUAUAUUUUAGUUUCUCUAAAGUUUGAUUAGUUAUUUAUUUAAUUUCAAAGUUAUUUACUAUUUUCAGAACUUCACUUAUAAGUUAAUUUCUUUUUAAACAAACUUAAAAUUACUAAAAUAAAUAUCAUUUUAAUAAAUAAUACCAAUAAUAGGAUUAAUUUUGAAAAUUUAACAAGUUAAGUAUUAAUAAAUAAUUUUUAAAAAAAAAUCAAAAACCAAAAACCAGAAUCUAG